rnacentral:lncRNA from 1 species
GAUCAAGUUAGCAUUAGGUUUUACCAAAGCUCAAUUAUGCUAACUGGGUCUGACUUAGUGGUCCAUUUGUGAUUACAAAUGUUACUGCUUUGUUCUUGAGACAAGACUUGGACUUCUGAAAGUAAAUGAGCAGACUUAAUUAUCACUAGAUAAGCUAGAACAACUGUUUGUAAGAGGCAUACUUGAAAGUCUGUGGCUAUGGUAUUAUUAAGAUGGGUGUUUUAAAACUUUAAUUAAAAUGACAAUCUUUGUAAUCUUAGUCCAUCUCUUCCUAUAGCUUCCCAUUGCAGUCCUACCCAGCUUCAAGUCCCCCUACCCUUGUUCUCUGUCCCUCUCUCUUGUUCUCUCGAUCGUUCUCAAAAGAGAAAAACAGCAAAAAAUGAAAUUCAGUAUGGACAAAUAAACUAAAAAGAAGGAAAGAAAAUCAGUAAGAGAAAAAAACAAAACCCCCACAAACCAAGAAGCGCACAGACAGGGAGCCCACACUGGGUCAGCCACUGUUGUUGGGGAUGCUUUCCUGUAGCGUGGUUGACAGGUGAAGUAACAGUCUACCUAAGAAAACCCAUUUUUCCCUCCUCCGCAGAUACCAGUUGCAAAUAGCUUCUUGGUUAGGGAUGGGACUUUCAAAAAGUACAGAUUUUACUUAAGAUGUUAAGAUUUUAACAUUUAACUUGCCAUGAAAGAACCUCAGAUUUAUGAUUAAAUAGAAGUAUGAUCUUUAAUAAUUUGAUAUAAAUAUAUUAAUCUUUGGCUUUACUUUUUUUAAGAAAAGUGUGUGUUUCUGUGGGGUGAAGGUGUGCCACCGCAUAUUGUGGAAGUCAGAGGACAACUUGUGGGAGUCAGGAAUCUCUUUCUGCCACGUUGGCCUUGGGCAGUCUAACUCAGGGCAUUAGGCUUGAGGGAAAGAGCCAGUUCCAUGCCGAGGUCAGCAAAGGGUGUUGAGUCCCCUGAAACUAGAAGGUUGGGUGGUGGUGAACUACCAAUGGUGCUAAGACUAGAACUUGGUUCCUCUGGACGAGCAGGCAGUGCUCUUAAUAGCUGAGCCAUCUCUCCAGCCCCAGAGUUAUUAAAUGUUUGAGUGUUUUGCCCAAAUGUAUGUGCACUGCGUGUGUGCCUGAGACCCAAGGAGGCCAGAAGAGGGCCCUGGAUCCUCUGGUACUGGAGUCAUAGACAGUUCUAAGUCACCAUGUGAAUUCUGGGAACUGUAAGAAUAACAAGUGCUCUUAGCAACUGAAUCAUCUCUCCAGCCUCAGUUAUUAUGAUGAUUCCUCCUCCUCCACUUCUUUUUUGAGGGUCUCAUUGUGUAGUGUUGCUGGCUUGGAAUUAGUUAUGUAGACCUACUGGCCUCAACUCACAGAUUGUAUCUCCUGAGUGCUAGGAUUAAAUGCCCAGCAAGAAUUAGUAUUUCUCAGCAGUUACCUUUAAACCUUUUUCUUGGACAUAGAGCAUACCAGAAAUUGGUAUUUGUUUUGAGAUAGGGUCUCAUUAUGUAAUCUUACCUGGCGUGGAACUCGCUACGUAAGCUAGGCUGGCCUUGAACUCAUAGAGGACUGCCUUUUCCCUUACUGUAUAGCUGUCUUAUUGAGGUUUAACUCACAUACCAUAACAUUAACUUACUUAGAUUAUUGCUCAGCAAGUUUUACUGUUUUCUUACUUUAUUCCCCACCAGUGUUCCAGAACAUUCUGCCUUUCUCAGCUACACAGCUCAAGCAACUGCUGAUUUAUUAUGUUGUUGAGUUGUGCUAAUUUAUUCUCUGACUGGCUUCUUUCUCUGAGCAUGUGUGAGGCCCCUCCAAGCUGGCCCCACACCAGUGCUCUAUCCCUUUGCCCUGUUGAAGAGCAGGCCCGUGUGUACACGGCUUUAGUUAUUUCCCUGUCCCCCAGUUGGUGCACAUUGAUUGUUUCCGUCUUUUGGCCGUGAUAAGUAGUGCUCCCAUGAACGUUUGUCAGUAAGUUUUUGUGUGGUUUGUGUUUAUUUAUCUUAUGACAUUUCUUGGUCAUAUAGUAACUGUAUUUUUAGAAACUGUCAUAAUGUUUUAUAAAGUGGCUAUACUCCUAAAAUUUCAUGAUGUUUUUGGUUUUUCUGCAUUCGUAACCACCAAAAAAUGCUGUUCCAGAUCCUUUUAGGGUUAGCCGCCGCCUUGGUGGGUGUGAGGAUGGUGCUGUGCUCCUGGGUUGGCUUCCACCGUCCCAGGAGCCGGUGAUGCUGAGAGCAUCCUUUGAUGCUCACUGCCUUUCAUGGACCCCGUAUAAUGCAGGGUUCUGUGGUCUCCAGUUAUGUGGUUUUUAACAAACACUUAGGCCAUAGCGGAUUUUAUAUGUGCUCUUCUGGUGCUGGCUAGCUUUGUGGGUGAGCUAAAGUAGGUUGCUAAACAUUUUUGUCACAUCAGAGGAGAACCCUGCACCCACUGAGCCAUGUCUCUUCCUUUUACUCUCCCCUCAGCUCUCAGUGGCCACCAGUGUACCCUCUGACUUUGUAGACUUGCCUUUUCUAGAGACUCUCAUUGAAAUAGAACCGUACCAUAUGCAGUAUAUUAUAUGUGCUCUUUUUUGGCCUGGCCUUUUUGCUUUAGCAUGGUUUCAAGAUUUGUUUACCUUAUAGCAAAUAUGAAUACUUUAUUCCUUUUGAUUGAAUGGCAAUCCAUUAUUCUAGACAUUUUGUGCAGCCAUUACCUAUUGGUAAUUAUUUGAGUUUAUGUGUGUUUUUUUUUGUUUACUGUUUGUUUUGGGUUGGGGUCUUGUUAUAUAUAGCUUAGACUUGUUUGUAUAGUUAGAUAAGUGAUAAUCCUUCUGCCUCAGCUUCCUGGGUGCUAGAAUUACAGCAUGCACUCUCACACCAGCUUCCGUUUACUAUGAUAUGUUUUGUCACGUUUUGGAGACAGGAUCCCACUAGGUAGCCCAAGUUCAGCAUUGAGCCUCCUAAGUACCAGUGUUAUAGCUGUGCCACUGUGUCCCACACUGAGGGUGUGACCCUGUACACCAGCGUCAUGCUCGAGUUUAAUAUGUGGACAAACAGAAAAACUACUACUUCCCAGUAAACUGUUUAUAACCAAAGAGGAGGGCUUAGUAGAUACAGUCAGUCCUCCGCUUCAUGUGGUCUAGUAGUCCGACCUGAUGGCAAGUGGCUUUCCCUCCAGAGCCUCCCAUCAGGUUAGCCAUGUGUUUCUAGGGGUGGUAACUGGCCCAGAGUUACACAGCAGCUAUAACUGUGCCUGUGCUCUUCUGCCUUGAAGUCACAUUCUUUGCUGAGAGUGAAGCAUCCCUAUACAAAUAACUGUCAAUGGUGCCCUUAAUUCAUCCACUUAAUUCUUAAGGUUAUCUGGAAGCUGUUUCGAGGAAGAUAACUGUAAUGCCCAUUCUUUUUACAUCACAGCUUUAAAAAAAUGAAGUUAAGGUGUCCAACAACAUAGGAGUUAGGGUAAAUAAAACAAAUGAUUUUUAUGACAAUGGAUGGGUUUUUCCAGACUUAAAGAGUGGUUAAGUUGUUUGCAGAGAAAAUGAAUGUACCUGGAGAUAAUCAGACCACUCAAGUUCAACCAGUCCUAGGAAGACAAAUGUGUAUGUUUCUUCCCAUAUAUAUAUAUAGUGUUAUAAACUCAUACACAUAUAAACAACAAGAAAGUGAAAGUAAAAUUCUGUGAACAAAGGGAGCCAGUGGAGGGGGAGAGGCAUGGCAGGUCGUGUUCAACAUGUGGUCUAUACUUGAUGAAAAGGCAAAACAAACACU